CCUACGGGUGGCUGCAGUGGGGAAUAUUGCACAAUGGGCGCAAGCCUGAUGCAGCCAUGCCGCGUGUGUGAAGAAGGCCUUCGGGUUGUAAAGCACUUUCAGCGGGGAGGAAGGCGGUGAGGUUAAUAACCUCAUCGAUUGACGUUACCCGCAGAAGAAGCACCGGCUAACUCCGUGCCAGCAGCCGCGGUAAUACGGAGGGUGCAAGCGUUAAUCGGAAUUACUGGGCGUAAAGCGCACGCAGGCGGUCUGUCAAGUCGGAUGUGAAAUCCCCGGGCUCAACCUGGGAACUGCAUUCGAAACUGGCAGGCUAGAGUCUUGUAGAGGGGGGUAGAAUUCCAGGUGUAGCGGUGAAAUGCGUAGAGAUCUGGAGGAAUACCGGUGGCGAAGGCGGCUCUCUGGCCUGUAACUGACGCUGAGGCGCGAAAGCGUGGGGAGCGAACAGGAUUAGAUACCCUUGUAGUC
rnacentral:rRNA from 1 species